rnacentral:rRNA from 1 species
UACGUAGGGGGCAAGCGUUGUCCGGAAUCAUUGGGCGUAAAGAGCGUGUAGGCGGUCCGGUAAGUCGGCUGUGAAAGUCCAGGGCUCAACCCUGGGAUGCCGGUCGAUACUGCCGGACUAGAGUUCGGAAGAGGCGAGUGGAAUUCCCGGUGUAGCGGUGAAAUGCGCAGAUAUCGGGAGGAACACCUAUGGCGAAGGCAGCUCGCUGGGACGUUACUGACGCUGAGGCGCGAAAGCGUGGGGAGCAAACGGG